rnacentral:rRNA from 1 species
ACUCCUACGGGAGGCAGCAGGUGGGGAAGUAUUGCACAAUGGGGGAAACCCUGAUGCAGCCAUGCCGCGUGUGUGAAGAAGGCCUUCGGGUUGUAAAGCACUUUCAGUAGGGAGGAAGGUAGUGUAGUUAACACCUGCAUUAUUUGACGUUACCUACAGAAGAAGCACCGGCUAACUCCGUGCCAGCAGCCGCGGUAAUACGGAGGGUGCGAGCGUUAAUCGGAAUUACUGGGCGUAAAGCGCAUGCAGGC